CGGGCUGAUCCGCGGGUGCUGCUGUGUGGGGCCGGGGCCGCGGCACCUCGGCGGGCUCCCUCCCUCCUUCCCUCCUCCCCUGCCUCUCUCGGCCUGCGGGAGGGCAGCGGGCGGCCUGGAGCCAGGAGCAGAGCCCUUCCAAGGGGAGCCCAGUGAUACCAGGGGCCAUAGGCACCUACGGGGAACAGUGGGAACUCUCUGGAUGAACACCGGGAAGCCCUGUCCCCCGUGAGGCUGACAGAGCACAGGCACAGCUUGCCCGGUGAGCUGUCCGUCCUCGUAGGAAACACCGAAAGCCGCCCGGGCACGGCUCUGCGCCUCCAGCUCUGGGUGGCCCUGCUACAGCAGGGGGCCGGACCAAAUAACCUCCAGAGAUCCCUUCCCGCCUCCAGUGCCCUGUGAUCCUCUGAAAUCCCGUAGAGCCUCGCUCGGAAAAAGCAGAACUGAGGAUUCUCCUUCACGAUCCCAUAUAACCAUGGUGCCUACAUACUCCUUGAUGGGACCUUUCAGAAGACACGAGUCUCAAAAGUAGCCCUUUUUCUCCUGGACCUUCCUACAAGCUCUCCAAUCAGUACAUCAUUCAAGACCACAUGGCUGCUCAUUUCAAGAAGUUGAUGUCUGCUGAAGCUGCUGUUGAUUCAUCUGCACCAAAGUGUUUGCAUACCAGUGUUAAAUAUCAACCAAUAUCAUCAGCUAAGCUGCUUCUACUAUAUUGGACAAGGACCAGCAGAAAAGAGACAGAAUAAUUCAAACCCUUGAUAAAUACAAGAAGGAUCUUGUACGUGGUCUUCCUGCCUCACCAGUCAAAUGCAGAAGUAUUUCUCCAAACCAGCAGAAGAUCAAUUGGGCACUGUUGGAAAAUGGUCACCCACUGUCUGGUCAGAGCAACUAUCCCAGGACAAAGAGAGAGCAACCCCUCUCUGUAUCAGGCAGAAGUUCACUUAAAGGACUCAGAGGCUGAGUCCUGCUGCAAGAAAGGCUGUCCCAAAUACUGCUCUGUGUGCUUGGUCUCCAACCAACAUCAGUUCACAGUCCUAGUGCCCACAGAUCAUCUGCUUCACCCCUCCUGCAGCCUCACAUGCCUUUGAGCAGUCACAACAGGAAGAAGGCAUUUCAGAACUCUGUUCAUAAAACCUACUCUGGGGACUUCCUUGACAAACAUGCAAUUUACUUUGCAGAAAAGAAGCAGUGUUUUACCUCUCAGAUCUUGAAGACAUCACAUCAACCUUUGCUUGUAAAAUAUAGGUAUUAUAAUCCUCCUUCCAGAAAAAGGAGCUCCUCCCCAGGCAGACCAUCAAUUAAAUCAGCAGGCAUCAACAGCAAAAAGAGAGAAGGCUUACACAGGUGCUGACAUCAAUGCUAAAAGUUACACAAUUUUUUUUCAAACACAUUAUUUGAAUCAUAGCUGUUUCUCACUGUGCUUUUAAUCUUUCAGAUUUUUAGAGGAUGAACAUAUGAGACCACAUUCUGCUAACUUUUCUCAGCAGCCAGUUGAGGUUAGUGUAUCCAGUGAGUUACAAAGAAAAAAGGGCAGAAAACACUACUUAUGUACAAAAGUUGUCCUGGUUAUGUGAAAAUUAAAUGGAUAAUGGAGUCAGUGGCUUUGGGGAAUCUUUGUUAAGAGCAAAACCAAAAUACUCAACUUCCUUAAGAGAAGUGACUACGGUUGUAACUGAGAAAUCCAGCAUGCAGGGCUAGAAGGGGUCAACAGGGAUCUGUGAAUAAAACAGGAGCAGCUAAAGUCUUUGAGAAACACAAAUGAGGCACUGUGAUGUGAGAAACAGUGUACCCCAACACAAAUCUGCUCUUCUGAGAGCAGAGUUCUUUCCUACUUGACUGAACUCUUGCUUUUUGGUUGGUUUACAGCCUUUCAUUCCAUCUAAAUAAUAACUUGGAGCCCAGAAAUGUCCAGAAAAAGUGCUAUUCUCUCUGACUACGGUCACAUGUCAUGCAAGAUUUUGUCUGUAAGUUGCACUCCAUUAGUCAUCUGGAUUUUCAAGAUGAAUGGUGAAUUGAUUUAGGAAAUUUUAGUGCACUUAAAAAUAAGGGUUGCUUAACAAUAGCCAAAGCCAUGCACGAUAGAGGAGUUUUGUAUAAUUCCUUGGCCCACGUGCCCCUUUACAGAAGCCAUUCUGAAUUUCUACACAGCUCAGCCAAGGAACCACAGGCAUGAUAUGUGAUAGCUUUGUGCUUGAUAGUGCUAUUUCAGUUCUUAUUUCAACCACCAAAACCUUCAUUUAACAAUAUUAACUGGAGUAGCUCCUACUUUCAUUUGAUGACCUGGUCUGAUUUUCUAAGUCCUCUUUCAAAAACACAAAUGUAUUUUGCAUGUCCUUCUAAAUAAAAUGCUGUUGUAUUUGUAUGGAAUCUGUAAAGAUUUUCAAUUUCGACAGAAAUUCUGAUUUUCUUUAUAUUUGCUUCCUUUCUCUUGGGUUAUACAAGCUGAUUUCCAUUUCUGUUACCAUGAACCUACCCAAUAAUAAUACUUGUUCAUUAUUUACAUGAGUGAUUGACACCCAAGACGUUUAUUUCACAUGAGCUGGAAUGUGAUAUAGUUGUGAUUUUGAUAUGUUGUGGUAUCAGAUUAUUUCCCCUGGUACUCUGAAUGGAAAUAAAUAAUGAGAA